AAUGGUCAUGAUCAUGCCAACAACUGUCCAUCAAUGCACUACGGGCCAAUGAGGACUUUUACCACAUCAUUUGUAACAUUACGAUCAUGAUUAUACCGAAUAAUCCCUGGUCAUAAUCAUACCAAGUCCAUCUAUGCACUAUGGCCACAGAUGACUUUCAACAUAAUAUAAGCAUGAGGAUGAUGACAAUGAUAUAAGAAUUCAAUUAAAAGA
rnacentral:lncRNA from 1 species